rnacentral:rRNA from 1 species
UACGUAGGGGGCUAGCGUUGUCCGGAAUCAUUGGGCGUAAAGAGCGUGUAGGCGGCUUGGUAAGUCCGCUGUGAAAGUCCAGGGCUCAACCCUGGAAUGCCAGUGGAUACUGUCAAGCUAGAGUCCGGAAGAGGCGAGUGGAAUUCCUGGUGUAGCGGUGAAAUGCGCAGAUAUCAGGAGGAACACCAAUGGCGAAGGCAGCUCGCUGGGACGGUACUGACACUGAGAGACGAAAGCUAGGGGAGCGAAUGGG